rnacentral:tRNA from 1 species
UGGAGUAUAGCCAAGCGGUAAGGCAUCGGUUUUCGAUACCGACACGCAAAGGUUCGAAUCCUUUUACUCCAG